rnacentral:rRNA from 1 species
AUGCCGGCGGCGACGGCGAUAUCGCUCUCUCCGGGGCCCUCCGCCGCCCGACGCCCAACCAAUCCCCUACACCGGGCCGCGUCCUCCCCCUCCUGCUUCAACCCGCCGCAGCCGGGGCGGCCGCCGACCGGAGGCGCCGUCGCCGCCUCCGCCGGACGCCGCGUCGCCCGCUGCAAGGCCGCCGGCCCCUCCGCCGCCGACCACGUGGGAGAUGUGGAGGAGCAGACGUGGGACGAGGUCGUCCUGGGGUGCGAGACAGCGGUGCUGGUCGCGUUCUGGGCGCCAUGGUGCGGCCCCUGCCGCCUGAUGCACCCCAUCAUCGCAGACCUGGCCAAGGCCUACGCCGGCAGGCUGAGGUGUCUGAGGGUGAACACGGACGAGAACCAGGAGGUGGCCUCGAGGUAUGGCAUCAGGAGCAUCCCCACCAUCCUCAUCUUCAAGGACGGCGAGAGAAAGGAGACAGUCAUCGGCGCCAUUGCAGACACGGCAUUGGCCGCCACAGUCGACAGGUUCUUGUGA